CAGGGCUCAUUUGAUCCACGCAGUGACCGACAAACUAACGAUCCUGGCGAAGGAGGCAACUUCUCAAAAGGGCUGUUCCAGAGGCGAAUGCAAUGCUUUCAUUGAGCUAGUCACUAGAACAUGUGUAGAGCUUGUUGGGGAACUUGGCGGAUCAUCACUUUGCGACAUUGCUGCUACGGUUCCCUGUUCAUUGACAGCACCAACCAUUGCAGCUGAACCUGAGGUAGAGCACCAGAGGGAUAAUGAGGACGGCAUAACUGAUCCCAUGUUGCCUGACCAGGAGACUGAGCCUGGCCCCGAUUCCGAGAGGCGGACUCGAAGCCAGGUUGGCCACACACAAGUGGAUGGCACAGUCCAUACAAAUUCACCACCAGGAAAGAGGAAGAGAGGCAGGCCGGGGCCAAGAUGAAAAAUGCUGUCGUAUCACAGCCUCCUUUGAUUCUAUCGUGUUCCCUGCCAUCUGUCUGCUGUCGUUGAGCCAUCACAUUAAUGAAACUAGUCUUGGACAGUUGAUUCUCUGCUUACUGCUCUUACUUGCAAAAUGACGCCUGUGUGUUUCUUGGCGUAAGAAGCUGUUGUCUGAAGGAAGGACAUGAUGGUUAGCGAGUUCAACAGUUCAUAGCUCCGACAAAGUCUAACACUGGGCGGCUCCAGAAGCAGAGGUUGCAGACAGUGAUGGAGAAAUUGUCUUAGAUGGCGUAUAAGCUCCCCACGGCUCACCAUUAGCGAGCUGCAUUGCAGGUCUACAACGACCACAUGAUUCCCCAGAAAAGGUGUCGUGUGAUUGCUUCAAUCAGGCUACAAAGAUCGCCCACAACCGGUACCAGCCUAGGCCUGAUGUUCCCCCACUUCUCUGCUGUUUUGUAUCCAUGGCGUGUGCUCAGCCCCGCGCCAUGUGGUGGUGUUUAUGUUAGUCCAAGGAACCAUAAUGUUGUAGCGUGGAAUUGUGCAUGGAAAUCGAUGCAUCUCCUUAGCCAUGGCUGCAAUUUGCAAAUCAUCUACUGAUCCUCAGGUGUCGCCGUGGUAGCAUUCAUAAUGAUUGGGCAGAUAAGCACUAGUGUUUUGUGGACUGUGGGAAGUCAAGGAGCAGAAUGUUAUCAAGGAAGAACGACCAUACAAUCAUGUCAACUAUAUGGUCUAAUUGCGGUGGUACAGACGGUCGAGACACAUCUGUCUCUGUAGCCCGAGGAUAAGUAAUGGUCACAAGGAUGAGGGCUUCUUUGCGUGCUUCUCAGCUCUGAUAUGCCCCCAGGGCUCAUUUGAUACACUCAGUGACCGACAAACUCACUAUCCUGGCAAAGGAGGCAACUUCUCAAAAGGGCUGCUCAGAGGCAAAUGUAUUGCUUUCAUUGAGCGAGUCACUAGAUCAUGCGUCUAGCAUGCAUCUAGCUUGUUGGGGAACUUGGCGGAUCGUUACUUUGCGACAUUGCUGCUUCAGUUCCAUGUUCAUCGACAACAGCAAUAGUUGCAGCUAAGCCUGAGGUGGAGCACCAGAGGGAUAAGUAGAAUGGGAUAAGUUAUUCCAUUGCUCCUGAUCAGGAGACGGGAAGGCGGACUUGAAGCCAGGUUGGCCACACUCAAGUAGACAUCACAAUCUGUUUGUGGUAACCACCAGGCAAGAGGAAGAGAGUCAGACUGGGUCCAAGAUGAAACUGGUCGGUUAGUUGUUUUGAAUUGUGGUUUUCGGUGCUCAUGUUGGAUAUUCCCAGCACAGCUCCUUCGGUUUUAUCGGCCUGCUGUCUGCCUGUGCUGUAAUUGAGGUAUUGCAUAAAUGAUUCCUGGACUAUUAUUUCUCUGCUUACUGGUCUUACUUGCAAACUACAGAUUCUGUGUGUGUUUUGGCGUAAGAAGUUGGGGUCUGAAGCAAGGACAUGAUGAUUAGCAGUUCAACAGUUCAUGACUACAACAAGUUCAAAACCGGUGGCUCCAGAAGGGACAUGUUGUGUAGAGCGGUGGAGAAAUCGUCUCAGUUGACAUAUGAACUGCUUCCCUCGUCAAACCGUUAGGGGUCUGGAUUGCAGGUCCACGACGAGUCCAUGAUUCCCCCAGAAAGGCUGACGUGUGACCUAGGUCUGAUGUUCGGUACUUCACUGUAGUAUGCUUCUUGAUCCACGUAUAGUCUUAGCCAUGGCUGCAGUUUGCAUAUCA